rnacentral:misc_RNA from 1 species
UUUGUAAACGCCAUAUCACACUCACCCUCACCUUACCUCCUCGCUUCCUUUCUCUUUCUCCUGAGUUUCCAAUUGAAAAGAAUUAAACAUUUCUUCAAUUCCUAUCCUCAAAUAAAUUCAACAGAACAGGAAAAAGAAAAGGAAAAAAAAAUCCAGCCUCUCUUAACAAGACAAAACAGAGUAGUUAGAAGUCAGGUCAUUCACAAACAUCUGUUGUAACCAGAAAAGCCAUUACUAGUACUACCCAUAAUUUCAUUUAUGGUGGAAGAAGAUUCAACACCAACUCAUAAGAAAAAACAAAAACCCAUCUUGGCUUGCUCUUUCAUCUGCUAACUGCUAAGGUUUGUGCUCCUUUUUCUUCCCUUUCUUUUUCUUCAAUGAAUUGACACAGUCGCAGGGGGAGAAAAAGUCUUUGUUUAGCUUCAGUAGCUCUCAGCUCUUAAGCAUUGACUCAUGAGGGUGACCUUAUUUUCUUCCAACCAGACGGUGGAAAAGCGAUUGCCCCAUUGCGUACGCGAUUCGUGGUCAUCUACUCAUCUAUAAACUUUCCGUUUGUUCUUUUCUAUUUCCCUAGAAAGUUAUGGAAAUGGCGGAAAAUCCAAAAUUGGAUUUGGCUUCUUGUCGCUGUGAGGCUGGAGGAUUAGAAGAAAACAUGGGAACCCAGAAAAUUUCUGCUUUGGAUCACAUAAAUGGAUUUCAAUACGCAACGGAGAAAUCUGAUAGCUUUGUUAUUGACAUGGAAAGCUUCUCCCAUGGCAGCAAUAAUAAAGAUAUCAACCCAAAUUCAAGAAUUACACUGCAGAGAAGCCUUUCCAGAAAAGGGUCUGUGCGCAGCGGCAGUGGCGGCGGAGGUGGCAGCGACAAGAAGAUUAAUUCUAAUCCUUCUCCUAAUGACAGAGACACUAUUGCUGCUGCCUCCUCACCAAGAGGUAUUAUUCUUAUUACAGUCAAUCAGAAUAAAUUAAUAUUUUUUUGAGACGUUGAUAUUAUCAUUAUUCUACCAUAUAAAUGGAUCUUCCAGGAAGGGAAGAAAGAAUCACAGGAAUUUGUAGCAAGAAUUAUUUUUAUGGUUGAUUUUGUUUUACCCUUAUGGAUCUUUGGAUCCUAUUUGAGACAGAGAGAGGGUGAUGGAGUUGUAAGACACUAGCAAACAAUAGUGAAUAAAUUAAGAAAUGGCCAUUUCUUGACGUUUUGCCACACGUAUAGCGUAAAAUACAAUAUAUUUUUUUUUUCAUCACCAACCAUUGCUGGUGCCAAUUGUUCUGUGACAACUCAACAAUCUUCACACACUCCUACUGCUAUUAUUAUUCUAAUUAUUAUUUUAUUCUAUGCAUCUUCAAUGGGGUUGAUCUACCUGGUAGUUGGCAAAUUCCGUCAUGGUUCAACAUUUUCUUAACUGCUGCUUUUGUUAUUAGGCUUUAAUAAUGUCUGUAACUAUCUUCAAAGAGAGUUUUUACAAUUUCUAAUAUAAUAAUUAAAGGAUUAAGGAUUUCAUAAGUAGAGAGAGAGAGAGUAGUUUUCGUAGUUGAAAGUUAGUGUAUUUAUGAUACCAAGGCACACCAGUUUACUGCUAUAAUAUUGUGGACCAAUAGUAGUUACUGAGUGAGAGUGAAAUGGUACCAACCUGCUGGGUCAACUUUGGAGAACACGGAAACCGAAUCUAGGAUUUGGGGUGGGCUUAGUUAAUUUUACAGGCAAAGUACAGGUUACAGAAACCUUAGUUGAAGGCAUGUGCAAU